AUUGAACGCUGGCGGCAUGCUUUACACAUGCAAGUCGAACGGUAACAGGCCUUCGGGUGCUGACGAGUGGCGCACGGGUGAGUAAUGCAUCGGAACGUACCCAGAGGUGGGGGAUAACGCAGCGAAAGCUGUGCUAAUACCGCAUGUGAUCUGAGGAUGAAAGCGGGGGACCGAGCAGCAAUGUUUGGCCUCGCGCCUUUGGAGCGGCCGAUGUCGGAUUAGCUAGUUGGUGGGGUAAAGGCCUACCAAGGCGACGAUCCGUAGCUGGUCUGGGAGGACGGCCAGCACCAGGGGGACGGAGACACGCCCCGGACUCCUCGGGGAGGCGGCAGUGGGGAGUUUUGAACAAUGGGCGCAGGCCUGACCCAGCAGUCCCGCGCGCGGGAAGAGGGCCUUCGGUUUGAAAACGGGUUUGGGCAGGAACGAAGCGGUGUCCGCUAAUACCGGGCGAUAAGGACGGUACCUGAAAAAAAGGCACGGGCUAACUCCGGC
rnacentral:rRNA from 1 species